AGCUUUCCUUCAUUCUCAGGUCUCUUCCCAACCUGAAUGGCAGCAAGAGCAGCAGCUCCGGAAGAAAUUCCAACCUGAUUAUCAAAAGUAGAAAAAGAUCAUUCAAGUAGCUCAAGGUGACAGUAUACAGUAAAGUAAAUACCAGACACAUUCUGGAUCAUAUGAACUGAAACCUAAUGCAUUCCAAUUCAGAGAUCAUCCAGCAUGGUUCACAGAAUGAUAUUAAGUAUAUAAAGGGCAGCUCGGUGCACAAAGCAUUCAGCAUUCACACAGGGUCCGCAAGUUUUUAAUACUUAAUGAUAUUAGAAAUUGCAAAUAGAAUAUUAAUAAGUUCUUUAUAAUGUAUCCACAAUCUAGAAAAAGGAUGAAUUAAAGGGCAUUUGAAAUUUAUGUUCGCUUAAAGCCAUGUCUCAAAAAUCAGCUGAUACAUAGAAUGGUGGGAAAAAAAGCACUAACCAAUAACCCUUCUUGUAGCGCUAAUUGCUUCGCAGUUUCAACAGCCUCGUCACUCGAUAUCUGAAAAUUCAAGUAAAGGUGUAAAGCCUCAGGAAGAUAACAUAUAUUUUUUAUUUUUUCCCUGACAAGUACUGGAAGAUAACACACAUGACAGCCUAUCAAAAAUCCAAAGGAGCAAAUGAUCUGGAUCAAAUAUUCAAACAAAGCUAUGUUCUUUUUUCUUUCUUUUUCUUUUUGUUCUGUGGGGCCUGGAUUGUAUGACAAGCAUACAGAGAUUUAUUUUCUGGAUAACCGUGGUGUCCGACAGCUUUUGCGCACCUCGACAAAUUCCAUAGGUACCUGCUAUCUCCCACCAGCAGAGGUACUGGGUAAUUCUGUCCACCAAGGCUUGAAUAGAUGAGAAGAAAUCACCUCAUGUUUUCGCCUCUGUUGGGUUUUGAACCUAAGAAUUC
rnacentral:lncRNA from 1 species